ACCAGAACAAGAAAAAGAAGAAGAAGAAAAACCAGAACACGAAAAAGAACAAAAGGGAGAAAACGAAGGAGUGGAGAAUCCUAUUUCCGCUUCAGAGAGAAACAGUGAAAAUAAAGCCAACAAACGCGAUAAGCAUCUCCGCAAAAGAUGUUUUAUGGCGAGGUGUAACAGACGACGUGCAUCUCGCAAUACGAGGAAAAGAUCUCUAAAUACAAAACCAGAAUUUAUUUACGAUGACUGAUUGAAUGAGGGAACCGGCGAUGAAUUGUCCCACGCGAAAUUCAACAAGUGAAGAAUGAAAGUCAACGCAAGAAGACGAUAAAGACCCUUAGCGAUGGCACAGAUUAAUGAUAAAAGCUAAAGACGUGUACUGAUAAAAUAAAAUAGCCAUUAAAACAUAUAUCCUGAAUAAAAGAAAUGAAAACGA